rnacentral:rRNA from 1 species
AUUGAACGCUGGAGGUAUGCUUAACACAUGCAAGUCGAACGGCAGCACGGUCUGUAGUAAUACAGAUGGGUGGCGAGUGGCGGACGGGUGAGUAAUACGCAGGAAUCUGCCCUAUAGAGGGGGAUAACUCGAGGAAACUCGAGCUAAUACCGCAUAGUCUCUACGGAGUAAAGCUGGGGCAACCUGGCGCUAUAGGAGGAGCCUGCGUCUGAUUAGCUAGUUGGUGGGGUAAAGGCCUACCAAGGCGACGAUCAGUAGGUGGUCUGAGAGGUUGAUCACCCACACUGGGACUGAGACACGGCCCAGACUCCUACGGGAGGCAGCAGUGGGGAAUAUUGGACAAUGGGGGCAACCCUGAUCCAGCAAUACCGCGUGUGUGAAGAAGGCCUUAGGGUUGUAAAGCACUUUAGGCGGGGAAGAAGGUAUGUAUUUUAAGAGAUAACAUAUUUGACGGUACCCGCAGAAUAAGCACCGGCUAACUCUGUGCCAGCCGCCGCGGUAA